UACACCAGGCAAAGUCAUAGUUUCUAUCCUUCUUGUUCUCCAUUACUGUAAACGCCACAGGGAAACAGCUUUUCAAGGACAAGGCAUGAAUGGGACAGCCAUUGCAAAUUUUUCCUGUGUCAUUUUUAAUGUUUCGUUCAUGAACUGCACCUGGCAUGUGGGCAGGACUGCUACAGAAGACACCCAAUAUUUCCUGUACUGGAGGCCCUUGGAGAAUGAAGAUAUCACAGAAUGCCAAAAUUACAUCAAAGAUACCUACGGAAGGCACAUAGGAUGUCAAUUUCAAAACGUGACAAUAGAAAAUAACAAUGCUUAUUUCCUGGUAAAUGGAUCCAGAAAUGGACGAAGUGUUCAGUCAUAUGAGAAGAAGAUACUGCUAUACAAAAUAGAAAAACUCACACCUCCAUUAAAUGUCACAGUGAACUGUACAGAAGCUUCUCAUGGAUGUACUAUUUGGUGGCAACCACCUCGCACAAGUCAUGUGAAAAUGAGGAGUUGUUUCAAAUAUCAAAUUGUCAUAGAAAACAAGGCUGAUGCUGAGAAAAACACCAAAACCACACCUAAACCACCACUAAUCAUUGAAAGUAACUCCUACCUAUAUGAAAGCUUCAGCUCAGGAAAAAGGUACAGCGUCAAAAUCAGAGCAACAGAUGCGGACCUUUGUUUAGUAAGCUCAAACUGGGGAGAGUGGAGUACACCUGUGGAGUUUGGAACACAACAACUUACAUCUACUUCAUCGUAUAUGCUGUUUCUGAUACCAAGCCUGGCAGCAGGUCUCACAUUUUUCCUUUGCAUGACAGUAAGGGCUUAUUUGAAAAAAACAUCUGCUAUAGUACCACAGCCAAGAGACCCAUUCCGUGAGCCCUCUCCAAUGGACUUCCAGACAGAAUAUAUGACUUUAUUAAAAAAACAAGAAACUGAAGAAGUAACAGAUAUUGAAGAAGUGAUGAAAUGCAAGUGAAAUGAGCAACUUGAUUUUCUUGAAGCAUAUAUACCUUAUUGGCAAAAAAUUAAGAGGUUUUUCAUAUUCUCUCGCUCCUGGAAGCAAGGAGAAGAGCACUGGCUGUAAAGACAAUUCCCCAAGAUCUGAUCUCUAAAAGUCUCCUUGUAUUUGGUUGCAUUUUCUAUGAACAGUUAAGUUUGGACUAUUUCUGGGUUUUAUUAUGAUGAAUACUGCAGUAUUUCAGAAAAAAAUAUUUCAGUAUUGCUUUGGAAGCUAUUUUACUGUUUUUCCACAACAUGCAAAAGAAUAAGUAAGAACAACUUAAGGGGUUUAUUCAGGAUCUCCAGUGGCUCAGUGUCUCAAAAAAGGUACAGCCAUACUGAGAUUGUGAUCAGGAAUGAAAUUUGACAUCUGUAUGAAUGCUUGCUGUAUGAAGCCAAGAUCAAACCUCUUAAGAAAGAUUACUUGCUCAUACAAAAACCAGAGAAGGAUCCUUCUACUUCAGUUAUAAUCGCCAAAAGAUAAAAGCACCUGCAUUAACUGGGAAAACUAAAGCCAACACUCACUGAAAUCUAAGGACAAUUAAACAGAUACAGUCUACUGGAUCCUCUCCAUCUUGCUCCACACAGAUUUGAUCAUGGCCAUUGGUGCACCCCUUACAUCCCCACUGCUUUCACUGUGAUAGCUGCUGAGACAGAAAAGUCAUUAAGAAAACUUGUUCACUACCAGCACGUUAAUAAGAAAACCAUAAACCCUAUCCAUGAAACAGUGGAGGUGGUAGUAGGUGUGGGACUAAGGUAUCACUUUCCCAUCCCUGGGCAAAGACCCCAAAAUCAGUGGAAAAGAAUGGUGAGGCUUUAGAAUAUUUUAACUAAGUGCCUUGGAUGCUCACACAGGAAGAAGACCUUUAUUCUGGUCUCCUACGGCUAUUCCUCUGUUCUGUGCUAAAAACCAGAAAGUUUUUGAUGCAAGGAAAAAAUUAAUGGUCUUGUCUACCAGUUGUAUUUUUGUGACAAUGCAAAAGCUGCAACACACCAGUACAGCAAAACAGCUGACAGCUCUUGUGAAAACUCCUGGUUUUGUUGGAGCAAUAAAUUGUUAUUCAAGUUUUUCUAAGUUUUAAGAAACAUUUGGUUUGAUAUUGUUUCUGCGAUGACUUCACUCCCUGUAGAGCCAAAAGUCUGUAAACAGCCCUAGUGUCUCUGCCCAGGUUUUUCUUCUCUCCUUUAUUCUUUUUUCCUCUUUCUCUUCCUCUUCCUCUUUCUCUUUCUCUUCUUAUUUUGCUUCCAACUCCUGGUUGAUAUCAAGGCCACUGAAGUUAUCUGGUCUCUGAAGGAUGACAGACUUUGGUAGUACCCUUAGUAGCACCUCUUUGCCUGGGAAUUUUUAAAAUGUGUUUAAUUUGUUUGCAUUUUUGAAAGCCUUAGGUAAGGAGUUUGCUUAAAUAUAGACAAGAAAAGAAAU